rnacentral:rRNA from 1 species
CGUGUAGGCGGCUUGGCAAGUCGGUUGUGAAAGCCCGGGGCCCAACCCCGGAAUUGCAGCCGAAACUGCCUCGCUAGAGUCCCGGAGAGGAAGGCAGAAUUCCCGGUGUAGGGGUGAAAUCCGUAGAUAUCGGGAGGAAUACCAGUGGCGAAGGCGGCCUUCUGGACGGUGACUGACGCUGAGACGCGAAAGCGUGGGGAGCAAACAGGAUUAGAUACCUGGUAGUCC